CCCUUCUCAGGAUCGCAACUGGAGAGUUUCCAGUAUUCUACCAGUCUCGGUUUUGGGAGGAAGAGUCAAGCAGAGGCAUACUCAUUCCAUUCCUAGCUUGGGCAGUGGCUAAUAAGUGGAAGGCCAUCCGCUUCAAGU